AGUGAACGCUGGCGGUAGGCCUAACACAUGCAAGUCGAACGGCAGCACAGUAAGAGCUUGCUCUUACGGGUGGCGAGUGACGGACGGGUGAGGAAUACAUCGGAAUCUACUUUUUCGUGGGGGAUAACGUAGGGAAACUUACGCUAAUACCGCAUACGACCUACGGGUGAAAGCAGGGGAUCUUCGGACCUUGCGCGAUUGAAUGAGCCGAUGUCGGAUUAGCUAGUUGGCGGGGUAAAGGCCCACCAAGGCGACGAUCCGUAGCUGGUCUGAGAGGAUGAUCAGCCACACUGGAACUGAGACACGGUCCAGACUCCUACGGGAGGCAGCAGUGGGGAAUAUUGGACAAAGGGCGCAAGCCUGAUCCAGCCAUACCGCGUGGGUGAAGAAGGCCUUCGGGUUGUAAAGCCCUUUUGUUGGGAAAGAAAAGCAGCAGGUUAAUACCCCGCUGUUCUGACGGUACCCAAAGAAUAAGCACCGGCUAACUUCGUG
rnacentral:rRNA from 1 species